AAUACCCGUAAUCUUUCGGGUCCAUAUCGGGUCCGGGUCGAAUUCGGGUAUUUAGGAUCUGAAAAGGAUAUGGCAUACCCAACGCGAUCAAAUUUAGUCGAUAUUUGUCAUAUAUAUCUAAAAUUUUACAAAAUAACUUAAAUGAAACUAUUAAAAAUUAAAAUAAAACAGUUUUAAACUCUAAAUUUUACAUUUUAAAGCUUCAUAUUACUUAAAAAAUGUUACAAAAUAAUAACAAAUAUUGUUAACAAAAGAUAUUUCAACUAAAUCAUAAAAUAAUAUAUAUAAAAUAGAACAAAAAAAUCAUAGUUUAAGAUAUACGUUUUUUUAAGUCGGGUACAAAUCGGUUCUUAUCGGAUCGGGUCUAUUCGGGUCGGAUCUUUUCGGGUCCGGGUCUAUUCGGGUCGGUUCCUUUCGGUUCCUGUUCUUUCGGGUAAAAGAAAUUUAGACCCAAAAGGUACUUGUAAAU
rnacentral:lncRNA from 1 species